rnacentral:rRNA from 1 species
UAAGCAUAUCAAUAAGCGGAGGAAAAGAAACCAACAGGGAUUGCCCUAGUAACGGCGAGUGAAGCGGCAACAGCUCAAAUUUGAAAUCUGGCCCCUUCGGGGCCCGAGUUGUAAUUUGUAGAGGGUGCUUUGGCGUUGGCCAUGGUCUAAGUUCCUUGGAACAGGACGUCACAGAGGGUGAGAAUCCCGUACGUGGCCGCUGGCCUUCGCCAUGUAAAGCCCCUUCGACGAGUCGAGUUGUUUGGGAAUGCAGCUCUAAAUGGGAGGUAAAUUUCUUCUAAAGCUAAAUAUUGGCCAGAGACCGAUAGCGCACAAGUAGAGUGAUCGAAAGAUGAAAAGCACUUUGGAAAGAGAGUCAAAAAGCACGUGAAAUUGUUGAAAGGGAAGCGCUUGCAGCCAGACUUGCUCGUAGUCGCUCAUCUAGGCUUCUGCCUGGUGCACUCUUCUGCGGGCAGGCCAGCAUCAGUUCAGGCGGUCGGAUAAAGGUCUUGGGAAUGUGGCUCUCUUCGGGGAGUGUUAUAGCCCGUGGCGCAAUGCGACCAGCCUGGACUGAGGUCCGCGCAUCUGCUAGGAUGCUGGCGUAAUGGCUGUAAGCGGCCCGUCUUGAAACACGGACCAAGGAGUCUAACAUCUAUGCGAGUGUUUGGGUGUCAAGCCCGAGCGCGCAAUGAAAGUGAACGGAGGUGGGAACCCGCAAGGGCGCACCAUCGACCGAUCCUGAUGUCUUCGGAUGGAUUUGAGUAAGAGCAUAGCUGUUGGGACCCGAAAGAUGGUGAACUAUGCCUGAAUAGGGUGAAGCCAGAGGAAACUCUGGUGGAGGCUCGCAGCGGUUCUGACGUGCAAAUCGAUCGUCAAAUUUGGGCAUAGGGGCGAAAGACUAAUCGAACUAUCUAGUAGCUGGUUCCUGCCGAAGUUUCCCUCAGGAUAGCAGUAACGUUUUCAGUUUUAUGAGGUAAAGCGAAUGAUUAGAGGCCUGGGGGUUGAAACAACCUUCACCUAUUCUCAAACUUUAAAUAUGUAAGAAGUCCUUGUUACUUAAUUGAACGUGGACAUUUGAAUGUACCGUUACUAGUGGGCCAUUUUUGGA